CUGGCGGCAGGCCUAACACAUGCAAGUCGAGCGGCAGCGGAAAGUAGCUUGCUACUUUGCCGGCGAGCGGCGGACGGGUGAGUAAUGUCUGGGAAACUGCCUGAUGGAGGGGGAUAACUACUGGAAACGGUAGCUAAUACCGCAUGACCUCGCAAGAGCAAAGUGGGGGACCUUCGGGCCUCACGCCAUCGGAUGUGCCCAGAUGGGAUUAGCUAGUAGGUGAGGUAAUGGCUCACCUAGGCGACGAUCCCUAGCUGGUCUGAGAGGAUGACCAGCCACACUGGAACUGAGACACGGUCCAGACUCCUACGGGAGGCAGCAGUGGGGAAUAUUGCACAAUGGGCGCAAGCCUGAUGCAGCCAUGCCGCGUGUGUGAAGAAGGCCUUCGGGUUGUAAAGCACUUUCAGCGAGGAGGAAGGCAGUCGUGU
rnacentral:rRNA from 1 species